GAGCCAGGCAAUCCAAGAGAAAGCAAGGAGGAGGCCACAGUGCCUUUUAUGAUUUAGUCUCAGAUGUCACACACUGUCACUUCUGCCUUAAUCUAUUCUUUAGAAAUAAGUCACUAA